UCCCUGGUGGUCCAGUGGUUAAGACUCUGUGCUUCCAACGCAGGGGGCAUGGGUUCAAUGCCUGGUCAGGGAA
rfam:TPA: Bos taurus chromosome 12, whole genome shotgun sequence.